AGGACGAACGCUGGCGGCGUGCUUAACACAUGCAAGUCGAGCGGAAAGGCCCUUCGGGGUACUCGAGCGGCGAACGGGUGAGUAACACGUGAGUAAUCUGCCCCUAGCUCUGGGAUAGCUCCGGGAAACCGGGAUUAAUACUGGAUACGACCACCUUAGACAUCUUUUGUGGUGGAAAGAAUUUCGGCUAGGGAUGAGCUCGCGGCCUAUCAGCUUGUUGGUGGGGUAACGGCCUACCAAGGCGACGACGGGUAGCCGGCCUGAGAGGGCGACCGGCCACACUGGGACUGAGACACGGCCCAGACUCCUACGGGAGGCAGCAGUGGGGAAUAUUGCGCAAUGGGCGAAAGCCUGACGCAGCGACGCCGCGUGGGGGAUGAAGGCCUUCGGGUUGUAAACCCCUUUCACCAGGGCGAAGCGAGAGUGACGGUACCUGGGGAAGAAGGCGCCGGCUAACUACGUGCCAGCAGCCGC
rnacentral:rRNA from 1 species